AAAGGCGUAGUCGAUGGGAAACAGGUUAAUAUUCCUGUACUUGGUAUUACUGCGAAGGGGGGACGGAGAAGGCUAUGUUGGCCGGGCGACGGUUGUCCCGGUUUAAGCGUGUAGGCUGGUUUUCCAGGCAAAUCCGGAAAAUCAAGGCUGAGGCGUGAUGACGAGGCACUACGGUGCUGAAGCAACAAAUGCCCUGCUUCCAGGAAAAGCCUCUAAGCAUCAGGUAACAUCAAAUCGUACCCCAAACCGACACAGGUGGUCAGGUAGAGAAUACCAAGGCGCUUGAGAGAACUCGGGUGAAGGAACUAGGCAAAAUGGUGCCGUAACUUCGGGAGAAGGCACGCUGAUAUGUAGGUGAAGUCCCUUGCGGAUGGAGCUGAAAUCAGUCGAAGAUACCAGCUGGCUGCAACUGUUUAUUAAAAACACAGCACUGUGCAAACACGAAAGUGGACGUAUACGGUGUGACGCCUGCCCGGUGCCGGAAGGUUAAUUGAUGGGGUCAGCGCAAGCGAAGCUCUUGAUCGAAGCCCCGGUAAACGGCGGCCGUAACUAUAACGGUCCUAAGGUAGCGAAAUUCCUUGUCGGGUAAGUUCCGACCUGCACGAAUGGCGUAAUGAUGGCCAGGCUGUCUCCACCCGAGACUCAGUGAAAUUGAACUCGCUGUGAAGAUGCAGUGUACCCGCGGCAAGACGGAAAGACCCCGUGAACCUUUACUAUAGCUUGACACUGAACAUUGAGCCUUGAUGUGUAGGAUAGGUGGGAGGCUUUGAAGUGUGGACGCCAGUCUGCAUGGAGCCGGCCUUGAAAUACCACCCUUUAAUGUUUGAUGUUCUAACGUGGACCCGUGAUCCGGGUUGCGGACAGUGUCUGGUGGGUAGUUUGACUGGGGCGGUCUCCUCCUAAAGAGUAACGGAGGAGCACGAAGGUUGGCUAAUCCUGGUCGGACAUCAGGAGGUUAGUGCAAUGGCAUAAGCCAGCUUGACUGCGAGCGUGACGGCGCGAGCAGGUGCGAAAGCAGGUCAUAGUGAUCCGGUGGUUCUGAAUGGAAGGGCCAUCGCUCAACGGAUAAAAGGUACUCCGGGGAUAACAGGCUGAUACCGCCCAAGAGUUCAUAUCGACGGCGGUGUUUGGCACCUCGAUGUCGGCUCAUCACAUCCUGGGGCUGAAGUAGGUCCCAAGGGUAUGGCUGUUCGCCAUUUAAAGUGGUACGCGAGCUGGGUUUAGAACGUCGUGAGACAGUUCGGUCCCUAUCUGCCGUGGGCGCUGGAGAACUGAGGGGGGCUGCUCCUAGUACGAGAGGACCGGAGUGGACGCAUCACUGGUGUUCGGGUUGUCAUGCCAAUGGCACUGCCCGGUAGCUAAAUGCGGAAGAGAUAAGUGCUGAAAGCAUCUAAGCACGAAACUUGCCCCGAGAUGAGUUCUCCCUGACCCUUUAAGGGUCCUGAAGGAACGUUGAAGACGACGACGUUGAUAGGCCGGGUGUGUAAGCGCAGCGAUGCGUUGAGCUAACCGGUACUAAUGAACCGUGAG
rnacentral:rRNA from 1 species